GAUGAACGCUGGCGGCGUGCCUAAUACAUGCAAGUCGAGCGAACAGACGAGGAGCUUGCUCCUCUGACGUUAGCGGCGGACGGGUGAGUAACACGUGGAUAACCUACCUAUAAGACUGGGAUAACUUCGGGAAACCGGAGCUAAUACCGGAUAAUAUAUUGAACCGCAUGGUUCAAUAGUGAAAGACGGUUUUGCUGUCACUUAUAGAUGGAUCCGCGCCGCAUUAGCUAGUUGGUAAGGUAACGGCUUACCAAGGCAACGAUGCGUAGCCGACCUGAGAGGGUGAUCGGCCACACUGGAACUGAGACACGGUCAAGACGCCUAAGGGAGGCAGCAGUAGGGAAUCUUCCGCAAUGGGCGAAAGCCUGACGGAGCAACGCCGCGUGAGUGAUGAAGGUCUUCGGAUCGUAAAACUCUGUUAUUAGGGAAGAACAAAUGAGUAAGUAACUAUGCACGUCUUGACGGUACCUAAUCAGAAAGCCACGGCUAACUACGUG
rnacentral:rRNA from 1 species